rnacentral:rRNA from 1 species
GAUGAACGCUGGCGGCGUGCCUAAUACAUGCAAGUCGAGCGAACGGACGAGAAGCUUGCUUCUCUAAUGUUAGCGGCGGACGGGUGAGUAACACGUGGAUAACCUACCUAUAAGACUGGGAUAACUUCGGGAAACCGUAGCUAAUACCGGAUAAUAUUUUGAACCGCAUGGUUCAAAAGUGAAAGACGGUCUUGCUGUCACUUAUAGAUGGAUCCGCGCUGCAUUAGCUAGUUGGUAAGGUAACGGCUUACCAAGGCAACGAUGCAUAGCCGACCUGAGAGGGUGAUCGGCCACACUGGAACUGAGACACGGUCCAGACUCCUACGGGAGGCAGCAGUAGGGAAUCUUCCGCAAUGGGCGAAAGCCUGACGGAGCAACGCCGCGUGAGUGAUGAAGGUCUUCGGAUCGUAAAACUCUGUUAUUAGGGAAGAACAUAUGUGUAAGUAACUGUGCACAUCUUGACGGUACCUAAUCAGAAAGCCACGGCUAACUACGU